GCAACUUGUUCCAAUUGGGAAAAUUCUGCAGAAGUUGCUUCUAAGUAUCAAAGGCAAAAGAUCCAAAUUCACACAUAAACAUGCUUACACUAAUCCAUUUUUGUUUAACUAUAAUUAAAUUUGGAUUAAGUAUUCCAUAUAUAAGGUUAAUCUAACAGAAUUUUGCAGGUUGGUUAAUCAUUUUCCAGAGCAUAACAGAAAAUCCCAAGCCAUUCUCUCAUUCUUCUCCCAUUUUACCAAAAAAUUUUGAUAGCACUUUCUCAUCAAUUAAGCAUUUUUCUACUAAUCUUUGUACAAUUCCAUGGUGAAUUCAUCAUCUACAGGUGCUGUAUAGUUUCUGUUUGCAGGAAUUGAUUGGAAAAUCCGGCAAUCUCGCGACUGUCGUGAAGAUGCUCAUCCAUGGCAGUUAAGGAAAUCUGAUGAUGCAAGCGUUCUUGAGCUGGAUUCUUUUCACCUAUCACCUUCCACGACGAUUGGCUAUAUCUGUUUCGCCAUUGGAGCCCCUGCAAAUCGCCGAAGCUAUCACUGCAUUCAAGAAGGUACCCUUUAGUCGCUCAGUUCUCUUAAGAACUUGCAUUGCUUUGCUUAUAAGCAAUUGGCAUUGAGGGAGCAGCUGCACUGGUUAGCCUAUACAGAUACCUUGGAGAUGCGUCCAUGUUCAGUUGCAAACAACUCGGUGGAUAUCCUACUCUCCUACAGUGAUGGAUUCACGAGUACUUUCCAACUGUUGGAAAAAGAGGAGAGAAUUGGAAACCAGCUGAUAAUUGUGGUCUUCCUCGAGCGAUGAGAUGGUCCUAUAGGCAAGGAGUCCUGAAGGUGGAUAAUUUACGACCUAUUUUGGACGAGCUGACACUUGCCGGCAUCAUAUGGCAUCCAUUUGAGGAUCAUAGAGGAUGUCAUCACUUUGAUGAGUUAUGUCUGUACAGGGGGUGUUUGAAGUGGGGUGACACAGUUGUUCCAUACUUGUGUGACAGAUGUUUACGUCAGUUCGGGUACAAGCAGUAUGUUCCAUCCCCACCUCUUGAUUGUAUAAUGUCGACGGAUAUUAAUGUUGAUUGGAUUGGUUACCAUCAGAGCGUUAUUGUUGUGAUAUGUCCAACUACCCUGGCCAUCACUCUAUCUGAUAUAGAAAAUGGUUAUCUGGAAUGGUAUUAUUGUGUUUCGCAUCCACGUUUGGUCCCCACCCAUCGUGACGAACCAAGAGAGGUACCAGUUCCUGUUUAUGACGCAGGACCAUUUGAUCCUUAUUGGGCUCGUGUAUCUACAUUGACUCAUCGUUAUCUAAGACAGGUUAAUGCCGAAUAG